GACAGAGGGUGCAAACGUUGCUCGGAAUUACUGGGCGUAAAGCGCGUGUAGGCGGACCGGAAAGUCGGGCGUGAAAUCCCUGGGCUCAACCCAGGAACUGCACUCGAAACUUCCGGCCUUGAGUGGUGGAGAGGGUAGUGGAAUUUACGGUGUAGCGGUGAAAUGCGUAGAUAUCGUAAGGAAGACCAGUGGCGAAGGCGGGUCUCUGGACAGUUCCUGACGCUGGAGCACGAAGGCCAGGGGGAGCAAACGGG
rnacentral:rRNA from 1 species